AUGAACGCUGGCGGCGUGCCUAAUCCAUGCAAGUCGAGCGAACAGACGAGGAGCUUGCUCCUCUGACGUUAGCGGCGGACGGGUGAGUAACACGUGGAUAACCUACCUAUAAGACUGGGAUAACUUCGGGAAACCGGAGCUAAUACCGGAUAAUAUAUUGAACCGCAUGGUUCAAUAGUGAAAGACGGUUUUGCUGUCACUUAUAGAUGGAUCCGCGCCGCAUUAGCUAGUUGGUAAGGUAACGGCUUACCAAGGCGACGAUGCGUAGCCGACCUGAGAGGGUGAUCGGCCACACUGGAACUGAGACACGGUCCAGACUCCUACGGGAGGCAGCAGUAGGGAAUCUUCCGCAAAGGGCGAAAGCCUGACGGAGCAACGCCGCGUGAGUGAUGAAGGUCUUCGGAUCGUAAAACUCUGUUAUUAGGGAAGAACAAAUGUGUAAGUAACUAUGCACGUCUUGACGGUACCUAAUCAGAAAGCCACGGCUAACUACGUG
rnacentral:rRNA from 1 species